CUAAAUGACUCUCGACAACGGAUAUCUCGGCUCUCGCAACGAUGAAGAACGUAGCGAAAUGCGAUACUUGGUGUGAAUUGCAGAAUCCCGUGAACCAUCGAGUCUUUGAACGCAAGUUGCGCCCGAAGCCUCCUGGCCGAGGGCACGCCUGCCUGGGCGUCACGCAU
rnacentral:rRNA from 1 species